rnacentral:rRNA from 1 species
UGCAGCGGCACCUAAUGGUGACAGUUGUUAAAGCGGGGGAUCGCAAGACCUCGCGUCUGAAGAGGAGCCUGCGGCAGAUUAGCUAGUUGGUAAGGUAACGGCUUACCAAGGCGAUGAUCUGUAGCCGGCCUGAGAGGGCGGUCGGCCACACUGACACUGACAUACGGGUCAGACUCCUACGGGAGGCAGCAGUCGGGAAUUUUGGGCAAUGGGCGAAAGCCUGACCCAGCAACGCCGCGUGAAGGACGAAAUCCUUCUGGGAUGUAAACUUCAAAAGUUGGGGACGAACACCGUGCGCGGACAAUGCGCGCGGGCUGACGGUACCCAACGUAAGCCCCGGCUAACUACGUGCCAGCAGCCGCGGUAAUACGUAGGGGGCAAGCGUUGUUCGGAAUUACUGGGCGUAAAGGGCGCGUAGGCGGCCGACUAAGUCAGACGUGAAAUCCCCAGGCUCAACCUGGGAACUGCGUCUGAUACUGGACGGCUCGAAUCCGGGAGAGGGAUGUGGAAUUCCAGGUGUAGCGGUGAAAUGCGUAGAUAUCGAGAGGAACACCUGCGGCGAAGGCGGGUUGCUGGGCUGACAUUGACGCUGAGGCGCG